CAGGCUUAACACAUGCAAGUCGAGGGGCAGCAUGGUCUUAGCUUGCUAAGGCCGAUGGCGACCGGCGCACGGGUGAGUAACACGUAUCCAACCUGCCGUCUACUCUUGGACAGCCUUCUGAAAGGAAGAUUAAUACAAGAUGGCAUCAUGAGUCCGCAUGUUCACAUGAUUAAAGGUAUUCCGGUAGACGAUGGGGAUGCGUUCCAUUAGAUAGUAGGCGGGGUAACGGCCCACCUAGUCUUCGAUGGAUAGGGGUUCUGAGAGGAAGGUCCCCCACAUUGGAACUGAGACACGGUCCAAACUCCUACGGGAGGCAGCAGUGAGGAAUAUUGGUCAAUGGGCGAGAGCCUGAACCAGCCAAGUAGCGUGAAGGAUGACUGCCCUAUGGGUUGUAAACUUCUUUUAUAAAGGAAUAAAGUCGGGUAUGGAUACCCGUUUGCAUGUACUUUAUGAAUAAGGAUCGGCUAACUCCGUGCCAGCAGCCGCGGUAAUACGGAGGAUCCGAGCGUUAUCCGGAUUUAUUGGGUUUAAAGGGAGCGUAGAUGGAUGUUUAAGUCAGUUGUGAAAGUUUGCGGCUCAACCGUAAAAUUGCAGUUGAUACUGGAUAUCUUGAGUGCAGUUGAGGCAGGCGGAAUUCGUGGUGUAGCGGUGAAAUGCUUAGAUAUCACGAAGAACUCCGAUUGCGAAGGCAGCCUGCUAAGCUGCAACUGACAUUGAGGCUCGAAAGUGUGGGUAUCAAACAGGAUUAGAUACCCUGGUAGUCCACACGGUAAACGAUGAAUACUCGCUGUUUGCGAUAUACUGCAAGCGGCCAAGCGAAAGCGUUAAGUAUUCCACCUGGGGAGUACGCCGGCAACGGUGAAACUCAAAGGAAUUGACGGGGGCCCGCACAAGCGGAGGAACAUGUGGUCUAAUUCGAUGAUACGCGAGGAACCUUACCCGGGCUUAAAUUGCAGAUGAAUUACGGUGAAAGCCGUAAGCCGCAAGGCAUCUGUGAAGGUGCUGCAUGGUUGUCGUCAGCUCGUGCCGUGAGGUGUCGGCUUAAGUGCCAUAACGAGCGCAACCCUUGUUGUCAGUUACUAACAGGUUCCGCUGAGGACUCUGACAAGACUGCCAUCGUAAGAUGUGAGGAAGGUGGGGAUGACGUCAAAUCAGCACGGCCCUUACGUCCGGGGCUACACACGUGUUACAAUGGGGGGUACAGAGGGCCGCUACCACGCGAGUGGAUGCCAAUCCCCAAAACCUCUCUCAGUUCGGACUGGAGUCUGCAACCCGACUCCACGAAGCUGGAUUCGCUAGUAAUCGCGCAUCAGCCACGGCGCGGUGAAUACGUUCCCGGGCCUUGUACACACCGCCCGUCAAGCCAUGGGAGCCGGGGGUACCUGAAGUGCGUAACCGCGAGGAGCGCCCUAGGGUAAAACUGGUGACUGGGGCUAAGUC
rnacentral:rRNA from 1 species